rnacentral:rRNA from 1 species
UACAGAGGGUGCAAGCGUUGUUCGGAAUUACUGGGCGUAAAGGGCGUGUAGGCGGCUUGUUAAGUCUCGUGUGAAAGCCCUGAGCUCAACUCAGGAAGUGCGUGAGAUACUGGCGAGCUGGAGUGACGGAGAGGAUGGCGGAAUACCCGGUGUAGAGGUGAAAUUCGUAGAUAUCGGGUGGAACACCUGUGGCGAAGGCGGCCAUCUGGACGUCAACUGACGCUGAGGCGCGAAAGCUAGGGGAGCAAACGGG